AGUGAACGCUGGCGGCAGGCCUAACACAUGCAAGUCGAGCGGCAGCGGGUCCCCGCGAGGGGAGUGCCGGCGAGCGGCGGACGGGUGAGAACACAUCGGAAUCUGCCUGGUUGUGGGGAUAACGUAGGAACUUACGCUAAUACCGCAUGCGACCCUGAGUCGACGGACUGGGGGUGAAAGUGAGGGACCUUCGGCCUCACGCGACCAGAUGAGCCGAUGUCGGAUUAGCUAGUUGGCGGGGUAACGGCCCGCCAAGGCGACGAUCCGUAGCUGGUCUGAGAGGAUGAUCAGCCACACUGGGACUGAGACACGGCCCA
rnacentral:rRNA from 1 species